AUUGAACGCUGGCGGCAGGCCUAACACAUGCAAGUCGAACGGUAACAGGAAGAAGCUUGCUUCUUUGCUGACGAGUGGCGGACGGGUGAGUAAUGUCUGGGAAACUGCCUGAUGGAGGGGGAUAACUACUGGAAACGGUAGCUACUACCGCAUAACGUCGCAAGACCAAAGAGGGGGACCUUCGGGCCUCUUGCCAUCGGAUGUGCCCAGAUGGGAUUAGCUAGUAGGUGGGGUAACGGCUCACCUAGGCGACGAUCCCUAGCUGGUCUGAGAGGAUGACCAGCCACACUGGAACUGAGACACGGUCCAGACUCCUACGGGAGGCAGCAGUGGGGAAUAUUGCACAAUGGGCGCAAGCCUGAUGCAGCCAUGCCGCGUGUAUGAAGAAGGCCUUCGGGUUGUAAAGUACUUUCAGCGGGGAGGAAGGGAGUAAAGUUAAUACCUUUGCUCAUUGACGUUACCCGCAGAAGAAGCACCGGCUAACUCCGUG
rnacentral:rRNA from 1 species